rnacentral:lncRNA from 1 species
UCGUCCAGGUCGAGAGUAAUUUAUUCCAACGUAAUCCUCUAAUCCAAGCAAGAGCAUCCUUGGUCAUGUGCAGAGUUGCGAUCUGGAUCUUGGCCUCAUCGCCAAUAGAAUGGAAAGAAAAAUAUUCCUCCGCCUGGUAGACCCAUCCUUGUGGAUCCUUACCGGAGAAUCUAGGUAGGUCCAAUUUUAUUGAUCUUAAACCUUUGCCACUCUGCUCCUGUCCCUUACUGCUCGAUCCCCCAUGGAACCCUUUAAUUAGUAAAUGCUUAACUUCACAUAAUUCGUCACAGAUGUUCGAGAUAGCAAGAUCAUGACGCUUGGAUACGUCUGUUAACUUCUUUGUUUGAUCCACCGUAAUUGACGCCAGUGAAUUCCUUCAGUGCUUCAUCCGAUCGUCCUUCCAUAAUGAAUUCAAAUGAUUAUUGAGUAAAAUAAAUUGUAUAGCAGGAUAAAUUCGUACGUCUCUGAUGGAGACCCAAUUAAGGCUUGGGACGCGCCCUGGAGUAUUCAAAUGUUUAUGGUCGUUCCCGACCGAUCCUGCACCCACGGUGAGAGUCUAAAAAUAAAGCACCAAUUAAUGUGACGGUUCAAAGAUCAGAGUGUGUCGCGUCAGAGUACGAGAGAGAGAAGAGUAAAUUCCCCGAGGGGACCGGAGGAAGAUAGCGAAGAUAUCCCGAGGGAUCCGAGGGUAGAAGUUACGAAUAAUUUCUGAA